UUUUUUUUUUUUUUUUUAACACAGCGAAAGUUCCAUGCGCCCACUGUCCACCAUAUUCUUAGCGGUCCCACUGCCCUGUUCGACAGCCUGACCAACCCUUGCCUAACCAUCGUUAGCGGCGUAAUCCAAAACAACUGAACGAACGAUGUCUCGCUGUCGCAAGUAAUUUGUGGACCUGUUGGGCAGAUGGCCGAUCGUACAUUGCCUCCUGGGGACCAAACGGGCGUCGAAAACUCGUUGGAACUCGACGGCCAUUUGGAAAGAAUGAUCGAGGACAUGGAAAACAUAUCUGUGCAGCUGACAUGGAUGGCGUACGACAUGUCGGCUCUGCGAACCAACCCCGAACUGUGGGAUUCAAUGCUGCUUCUCGAAGAGGCUUGUCAAAAAAGCUCAAACGCAGUGGCAGGGGGCGGACUGCAGGAACCCGCUCCCAAUGACGCGCCACGCACUCAGAUGUGAAGUUUUACAAUCAAUCAAGUUUUCAACAGCAGCGUCAAGGAGUCGACAAGUUUAAGUUCUAAUCUGCAUAUUCAUACUGCAUGCAUUUCACUGUAAUACAUUUGUUGCAGUCAUUAAAUGCUCAUGAAUUCAAAUAAAAAUACACAUUCACAUUA